rnacentral:rRNA from 1 species
UGAUGAGGAGCUUGCUCCUCUGAUUUAGCGGCGGACGGGUGAGUAACACGUGGGUAAUCUGCCUGUAAGACGGGGAUAACUCCGGGAAACCGGGGCUAAUACCGGAUAAUAAGAGAAGAAGCAUUUCUUCUUUUUGAAAGUCGGUUUCGGCUGACACUUACAGAUGAGCCCGCGGCGCAUUAGCUAGUUGGUGAGGUAACGGCUCACCAAGGCGACGAUGCGUAGCCGACCUGAGAGGGUGAUCGGCCACACUGGGACUGAGACACGGCCCAGACUCCUACGGGAGGCAGCAGUAGGGAAUCUUCGGCAAUGGGCGAAAGCCUGACCGAGCAACGCCGCGUGAGCGAUGAAGGCCUUCGGGUCGUAAAGCUCUGUUGUUAGAGAAGAACAAGUACGAGAGUAACUGCUCGUACCUUGACGGUACCUAACCAGAAAGCCACGGCUAACUACGUGCCAGCAGCCGCGGUAAUACGUAGGUGGCAAGCGUUAUCCGGAAUUAUUGGGCGUAAAGCGCGCGCAGGCGGUCUCUUAAGUCUGAUGUGAAAGCCCACGGCUCAACCGUGGAGGGUCAUUGGAAACUGGGAGACUUGAGUGCAGGAGAGAAAAGUGGAAUUCCACGUGUAGCGGUGAAAUGCGUAGA